rnacentral:rRNA from 1 species
UACGUAGGGACCAAGCGUUGUUCGGAUUUACUGGGCGUAAAGGGCGCGUAGGCGGCGUGACAAGUCACUUGUGAAAUCGUCCGGCUUAACUCGGAACGGCCAAGUGAUACUGUCGUGCUAGAGGUGCAGAAGGGGCAAUCGGAAUUCUUGGUGUAGCGGUGAAAUGCGUAGAUAUCAAGAGGAACACCUGAGGUGAAGACGGGUUGCUGGGCUGACACUGACGCUGGAGGCGCGAAAGCUAGGGGAGCAAACGGG